AGAGCGAACGCUGGCGGCAGGCCUAACACAUGCAAGUCAAGCGCGUGUAGCAAUACACGAGCGGCAGACGGGAGAGUAACACGUGGGAACGCGCCCUUCGGUUCGGAAUAACUCAGGGAAACUUGAGCUAAUACCGGAUACGCCCUUACGGGGGAAAGAUUUAUUGCCGAAGGAACGGCCCGCGUCCGAUUAGCUAGUUGGUGAGGUAACGGCUCACCAAGGCGACGAUCGGUAGCUGGUCUGAGAGGAUGACCAGCCUCACUGGGACUGAGACACGGCCCAGACUCCUACGGGAGGCAGCAGUGGGGAAUAUGGACAAUGGGCGCAAGCCUGAUCCAGCCAUGCCGCGUGGGUGAUGAAGGCCCUAGGGUUGUAAAGCCCUUUCGGCGGGGAAGAUAAUGACGGUACCCGCAGAAGAAGCCCCGGCUAACUUCGUGCCAGCAGCCGC
rnacentral:rRNA from 1 species